GGUGUUCGUCUGCGAUGAUGGCGCUGCCAAAGGCGACGGCGGAACGAGGAAACCGGUGUGAAUCCGGUGCGGUCCCGCCACUGUGAUCGGUGAGCCGGCUCCGAACAGGCCACUGCCCCCGCGGGGGUGGGAAGGCCAGGGGCCGGCGGUGAACCGAGAGCCAGGAGACUCACGUCGUCGCCUCCUCGACG
rnacentral:ncRNA from 2 species